rnacentral:lncRNA from 1 species
GUCAACUCCUCUGACACAUCUGAUUACUCCUCCUUUGAGUCGGCUUCUCUCGCUCUGCCCUCUCCUGUUUUCUGAUCCGUGCCUUCAUCUCUGUCUUCCGCUGUGGCACCUCAGAUGCUGGGAUGCUCUGCUCUGCACACUUUCUCACUCUCCUGCCAGAGGAGCCCAUCCUUCCCUGUGGCGGUGAAUACCAUUCACAGGUACAAGACUUACCUCAGCCAGGUCUUUUCUCAGACUCGUGUUUCUCAUUACCUAUGGUAUGUCUCAAACUGGACAUCUGAGAGCUGAAAUAGCUGAAGCUGAAUUCCUAAUCUCCCCAGAUGUGUUCCUCUCCCUCUUGCCCACCCAGUCAUGGCGUCUGCACUCACUAGACGCCCAGUGAGUCCUACCUCACUCCUUCUUCCCCUCCCCUUGUUCAUCAAGCCUGCCCCCUGACCUCAGGUCUGUCCACUUCCCUUCAUGGUCACUGCUACCUGCACAAGUGGCCACUGCCAUUUGUCUGAACUAUUGUGGUUUUUAGCUAACUUCUUUUCUGCUCCACAUUCUGCUUGUCAUUAUGCAGAGAGAAGACCGUUUUAAUUACAAAAUUAGACUGUCUCUCUCCCCUGCUUAUAAUUCUUCAAAAGUUUUCCAUUGUGUUUGUAAUAAGACCCGAGUUCCUUGAUCUGACUUGUACGACCAGACUUGGUUUUCCACUGCCCACGUCAAUGACCUUCUCUAUUGCCUCUCUCCCCUCUGCUAACCAGCCAUCGUGAUCUUCUAGCCUUUCCCCAGAGUGCCAAGCACUGUCCUCCUUUGGGGAUCAAGAGGUACUUGGACCAUGCAUCCCCUGUGCUCUACCUGGAUCUCUACUUCUCGUCAGUCAGAUCUUGCUUUAACACCACCUGUCAGAGAGAAAUUUCUGCACCUCAUCAAAAACAUGUCCCCAUCCUUCUGAUUUCUACAAGAGCCUUUGUUUCCUUGACAACCUUCAUUGCUGUUUGAAACCAUAGCUCAUCACUUUGCUUUCUCAUUGUCUCCACUCUGGACAGGGAGCUUCAUGGGAUGAGGUCCUGUCUGUGGUAUUUGGUGUCCCAAUGCUGACACAGUCCCUAGUGUAGGGUGCACAGUUACUGAAUGAGUGCACACCAAAAAUAUUUUACUUUAUCUUUUGGACAGCAGGGAACCACUGAAAAAUUUCAACUGUUGGUCUGGUGUUUGGGAAAAAGAGUGCUGUCGGGUCAUCGGGCAGAAGCCUGGAGAAUGGAUGACAGGAGUGCAUAAUUGGAAACCAAGGGAACCACUUAGGUACUUAUUGUAAUCUUGAGGCUAGAGAUGAUGAGCAUCCAAACUAAGGAGGUAAGACAUCGCAUAUGCUAAGCCCAGUGCUGGUGCCAACUCAGUGGAGUCCAUUCAGUUUGGCAGCCAGCAAACUUGCUUUGUAGAAGCUGAUUAUUGCAUUGGCAAGGGCAGAAGAUACAUUACUUAAGACUGCAGACAGGAUGAGAAGCCGGAGGCAGGCAGGUACCGCUUGUGCUUUUGGGUGCUGUGAGGGGAUGCAGAGAGGUAGCAAGAAGGCAGAGGUCAUCCUACGGGGAGCAAUUGGACCACACACUCUGAUUCCUUAGUGGGGCACAGAUCUAGGACAGAGGGAGAGGCCAGACACAGAGGGAAGAAGGAAACCCCUGGGUGGGCAAGCCCAGUUGGUGCAAAGAUGUGGAGUGCAGGUUCCAUCCAGCCUUGGGCUUGCUUGGGGGCGGGGUGGGCAAUGCUCAUUCUUCUUUGAGAUUGAAGAAGGUGUGACGGUGGCUGCUGCAGAAGCUGCUGGGCUGUCUGUGAUGCCACUGUUGGUGCUCCUGACCUUCCAGCUCAGUGCAGGCCCCCGGAGGAAGGGGUGUGAGUUUGGUUUCUCUAGUAUUUUCCCAAGCACAGACCUCAGUUCUGAGCUUGGAGAAGACGGCAUGGCAGGUGACCACAGAAGCAGGGAUUUAACUCAGCCAGGGGUAGUCACCUGACUCGCUCUAACAGUGGAGCUCAGCUGACUUGUGUGGUUGGAUUUUUUACUUGAGAAACCACUUACAAGCCAAAUGCACAGCAUCUAUAACCAGAGAGCCAGCUUCCUUGCCGCCUGUAGGUAUUUCCACUACUGUGGUUCUCCGCAUUCCACAGCUGGGUGGCAUGAUGUGAACUUCCCAGUGACCAAACACUCCAAGGCCACCAUUCUCAGUAGAGGUUGCCCUCCUGUCUGUGAAGUUACUGAAACACCAAGAGCAACGGCCUAUCAGAGGGAAUGGCCGCUUUGCCUGGCCUACCUCAUGACCAUGCUGUGUGGCCAGGGCCUCACAUCAGCUGCCCACCAAGACCUUCCCACACGCCUCCUUGUUCCUUCUC